rnacentral:rRNA from 1 species
GGGGCCCGCCCUGGCCCUUCCCAUUGCAAGUUCGAACGAUGAAGACCGUGCUUGCACGGUUGGAUUAGUGGCGAACGGGUGAGUAUCACGUGAGUAACCUUCCCUUGACUCUGGGAUAAGCCCGGGAAACUGGGUCUAAUACCGGAUACGACCAGUCCUCGCAUGGGGUGCUGGUGGAAAGAUUUAUCGGUUUUGGAUGGACUCGCGGCCUAUCAGCUUGUUGGUGAGGUAAAGGCUCACCAAGGCGAUGACGGGUAGCCGGCCUGAGAGGGUGACCGGCCACACUGGGACUGAGACACGGCCCAGACUCCUACGGGAGGCAGCAGUGGGGAAUAUUGCACAAUGGGCGAAAGCCUGAUGCAGCGACGCCGCGUGCGGGAUGACGGCCUUCGGGUUGUAAACCGCUUUCAGCAGGGAAGAAGCGCAAGUGACGGUACCUGCAGAAGAAGCGCCGGCUAACUACGUGCCAGCAGCCGCGGUAAUACGUAGGGCGCGAGCGUUAUCCGGAAUUAUUGGGCGUAAAGAGCUCGUAGGCGGUUUGUCACGUCUGCUGUGAAAGCCCGGGGCUCAACCCCGGGUGUGCAGUGGGUACGGGCAGACUAGAGUGCAGUAGGGGAGACUGGAAUUCCUGGUGUAGCGGUGAAAUGCGCAGAUAUCAGGAGGAACACCGAUGGCGAAGGCAGGUCUCUGGGCUGUUACUGACGCUGAGGAGCGAAAGCAUGGGGAGCGAACAGGAUUAGAUACCCUGGUAGUCCAUGCCGUAAACGUUGGGCACUAGGUGUGGGGGACAUUCCACGUUUUCCGCGCCGUAGCUAACGCAUUAAGUGCCCCGCCUGGGGAGUACGGCCGCAAGGCUAAAACUCAAAGGAAUUGACGGGGGCCCGCACAAGCGGCGGAGCAUGCGGAUUAAUUCGAUGCAACGCGAAGAACCUUACCAAGGCUUGACAUGGACCGGGACCGCUGCAGAGAUGCAGUUUCCCCUUCGGGGGUCGGUUCACAGGUGGUGCAUGGUUGUCGUCAGCUCGUGUCGUGAGAUGUUGGGUUAAGUCCCGCAACGAGCGCAACCCCUAUCCUAUGUUGCCAGCACGUUAUGGUGGGGACUCAUGGGAGACUGCCGGGGUCAACUCGGAGGAAGGUGGGGACGACGUCAAAUCAUCAUGCCCCUUAUGUCUUGGGCUUCACGCAUGCUACAAUGGCCGGUACAAUGGGUUGCGAUACUGUGAGGUGGAGCUAAUCCCUAAAAGCCGGUCUCAGUUCGGAUCGAAGUCUGCAACUCGACUUCGUGAAGUUGGAGUCGCUAGUAAUCGCAGAUCAGCAACGCUGCGGUGAAUACGUUCCCGGGCCUUGUACACACCGCCCGUCAAGUCACGAAAGUGGGUAACACCCGAAGCCGGUGGCCUAACCCUUGUGGGGGGAGGCCGUUUAAAUAUUGGGCCCCGGU